rnacentral:misc_RNA from 1 species
AAGUCGUAACAAGGUUUCCGUAGGUGAACCUGCGGAAGGAUCAUUAACAAGAGAAAUAUUCCAAAACAAACGGCACAAUGUGCUUUUGUUUUGCGAACUGCGAUACCGUGUCUCUUACUUAAUUGUAUGAGGCCAUUCAAACAAGAACCUGGGGUACUUUGAGGUGGAGGCAACUCUGCUUUGGAGCCCUGCAAUAAUCCCUUUUUUCUUACCAUUCUACCCUUAAAACUAUAAGACUGAUAUGACAUGAUUUAAUGUCAAACUUAAAACUAUAAAACAACUCUUAACAAUGGAUAUCUAGGCUCUG